AGGAACUCAAGCAGGAUAGGAACCUGG
rnacentral:piRNA from 1 species